AUGGGUGUGGUGAGAAGGCCGAGAAAGUGCUUAAAACCGUCAUCGCAUCGGUUGGAACCUCAAGGUGGAAUUUUUGUCCUGUGGAAGAGCAAAGAUAUAUCAGUGGAUGUCCUUCAGGAUGACUCUCAGUUCGUUCAUAUGAAGGUAGUUCAGGAGAAGAAGAGCGAGUGCUUAUUGAUUGCUCUCUAUGCGAAACCUAUGGAGAGUCUGAAAGCCUGGCUCUGGAAGCAAGUUCUUCAUAUGUGGGAAGUUUAA